rnacentral:tRNA from 1 species
GUCUGGGUGGCGCAAUUGGUUAGCGCGUCUGACUGUUAAUCAGGAGG